ensembl:lncRNA
GGCCAUAGAUGGGAGUUUAUUAGGAUUUGCUGAAGCAUGACAGGAUGUACCAACAAAGUUUGACUUUACAACGUGAACUAUUAUGGCAUCAAUGUACCACCAAAACUGGGAUACAGAGCAUAGGUUCACAUUUUUAAAAGGCAGUGGACAACCUCUACUUUCGUCCUUAAAGUAAAAAUGCGGGGUAGGGGUGGGGGGAGGAAUGGGGGGGACGGCAAGGGGACCAGCAGAGGCCAAUCUGAUUUGCAGUUAGCUGUCAGAAUCUAAAUCUAGUAUUGCAAUUAUAAGAAACUAUAAGAAAACUAUUAGAAAAAUAGAACAUCAAAUGAGCAAAAAAAUAUUACACAAUUUACAUAAUAAAAAACACAAUCCUCUUAAUAAUGGCUCCAUGUUCAGUAGAAGAAAAAGUACACUGGAGAACCCACACACCUUCAGGUCUGACAACAAACCAACCCUCGUGGAGAUCGUCACCCCUGUGUGCUCCUUAGACUUACCACACUUAAAGGCACAACGUAAGCAGGAAACUUAUCUUAAAUAGAUAUUAUAUACUUCUCCAAUGGGAAAAUAAGUCCCAAACUUAAAAAGUUUGUCAUCAAGAAACACAACAUCAUAUAUACCUUGUUAAUAAUUUAACAAGGCCUGAAUGCCUCUUCCCAGCCAUGCUCCCUGACCCUGAGAAAUCUCAUUUGGACUUCAAGCCGAGGUCUCACGGUGGAGUGUUCAGCCAGCAGUUCGACAUGUUACAGGGUGGUCCUGGGGGAGGAGAGGCUCCUGAGAACUGCGCCCCGAGACUCCUGGCUGGUCCACUCCCUCUUGAAAGAGCACUGCCACCCAGCGAAGCAAUGGGCACAGAAAGGCUGGAUCGUAGUGAUGAACAGGAAGGUCAGUUGACUUUUUUCUUUUUCUUUUUUGCCUUAACCACCCAUUAGGCAUCAUAACUGAUGAUGAGAUACGGAGUGUUUGUAGCUUCUUGCACCACUGGAUCAAUAAAGCAUUUUGUCACCCAAAAGAGUCCACAAGAGUCUGAUAAACUGUACAUCUCGCUCUCGCUAAGGAGCCUUACGUAACAAUACUCUCAUUACCAAGGCAGAUAUUAAUAUAUUUUAAAUUAUACAUAAAAUUAUAUACAACACAUAUUUAGUUCCAUCUGAAGUUGAAUUCACACGCCUGCGUGGACAUGCCACAGCCCCGCCUCUCCGUCCACGGGCCGGCAUGAAGCCGCUCCCUCUGGUCUCCAUAGGGGUGGUUCUCAGGGGUCAACGAAACAAGCGACUCUUAGUGUGUCAAAGCGGGGUGUCCACCCCUGGCACGGGGCCAGGCCUCUUCUCUGCAGCAGCGAGGCCCCCGACUACCCGUGGGCUCACCUGCAACAGGGCGGGCCCUUUACGAGCUGUGUCCACACAUGCUGUGCUGACGGAUCUGCUUCCAAUGUCAGGCUAGUCGCCAUCCUAGGCAGGACCCAGUCAGCUCACCGUGCCCACCCGGCCAUGGGGGUGGCAGGGAGGAGACCUAGCCCAGCCUGGGCUCCACUCCCACCCCCCUCAUCCCAUGCACGAGGCAGCAAACACAAGCACAAGGCUCCUGCCUGCAGCCCUCCUGGUGAGAACAAAUGUGACCAAGGGGCAGGAGGGAGUGACAGGGGCCCCAGGGGGCUCAGGGUGUGUGGAGAAGCCCCCACAAGGCUGUAGUCAACCUGCAGUGUCCAAACGCCACGGGACCAGGUGGUCGAUCACUUGAUGGAGACCAAAGGGCUCAAUGCAACAAAACCCAAAGUGGGGAGAUGCAAGUGAUGCUGAUACUGUAUCAGCUGAGCAGUAGUCUCCCAACCGUGGCUCUAUCACACCUCCUCUGGGUUUCUAAAAACCCACCUGGCCCAAAAUCAGGGAGGAGAUGUAGGCAGCGGGGGAUGGGGGCCGUGCAGGGUCCUGAUUGCUCCCAAAAGGUCCCAUCCCCACCCAGGGGCUCACAUCUCCCCCACCCAUGGGCCCAGCUGAUUCUUCAGAGACACUGUGCCCCUUACUCUCCCACACAGGGCCCGGGGGACCCCGGGUUUUCACAAGGUCAUGCACGUGCAGGCAGGGGCCCACAAGUGGUGGGAAGGGGCACUUCCUCCCCACAAGCGGGUCUUUCCAAUGCAAGUGUUUGGGGCUGGUGCCCAGGGACCCGAGGACACAUCCCCCUCAUGGGGUGUCUCUGGAAAAUAACAGCCAAGCCCUGAAACUGAGUCUGGGUGGGGCUGAGAUGUGAGACUGUUGGGCACUUCCAGUGGUUAUUUUCUGCCUGUGUGUGUUUAUUUAUGUGUGUAUGUUAUGGCUCUGUGUGUAAUGUCUGUAUGUGUGUGUGUUGUCUCUGUGUGUGUGUGUGACAUUUCUGUGUGUGUAUGUUAUAUCUGUGUGUAUGUGUAUAUACAUAUAUGUGUUGUUUCUGUGUAUACGUGUGUCUGUGUAAGUACGUAUGUUGUCUGUGUAUCUCGUAUCUGUGUGUAUGUGUGUGUGUCCAUCUCAGGCACAGGAAGGCAGGCUGUGGUAACAACUUCUCCCAUGGAUGGGGAUGGGACCUUUCGGGGGCAAUCAGGCCCCUGCACGCCCC